rnacentral:rRNA from 1 species
UAAUAAGCGGAGGAAAAGAAACUAACAAGGAUUCCCCCAGUAAUGGCGAAUGAAGCGGGAACAGCUCAAAUUUGAAAUCUCCGUCGCCUGGACCGAAUUGUAGUUUCGAGAAGCACUUUCUAGGCGGGCCGGGGGCUCCAAGUUGCUUGGAACAGCACGUCGUAGAGGGUGACAACCCGUCUGUGGCGGACGGCCGCCACGAUGCGCUUUCGA